GAAUGCUGAGGACGGUUUCUUCCUGAAAGGCCACUUUUCUAACGAAAACGUUUGGUGCCAUCUGCUGGCCAAACUUAGCCGACGUCUAAGAGUUCACAGUACAAAUGGCUCCCAUGGAAUCGGACACAGAAAACUCCGCUACAGCUCAUUUGCAGGUGAUACAGACCAAUUCUGUGUAUCCACCACCUGCUGGGAUCAGUCAUCAGGAGACUUAUUCUCAUAAGUCUUCUUAGAGUGGCCACAGAAAUCACCCACUGCAGAAAACCAGAGGAAUACUGGAAUGAGGAUGCCAUGGCCCCCGUCAACAGAGCCAGAGAAACCACAUACUUAACAGAUCAGCAGGGUUUUCAGAUUUCUCAACUUCCUGUUUGGUGAGGAACGGCAUGUGACCCACUGCUGGCCAGUAGGCUGUGGAUGGAACUUCCCAAGAUGGCCCUUCUCGGAAUGAAGGGAGCAGGGCCUCCCUGGCAGAAAGCUCUUCUAUCCUUAUACUUUGGUCCUUCCCUCAUUCCUGCUGAGAAGAAGACAAGAACCAUGCAGCAAUAUGAAGGAAGCAAUAUGAGGAGGAUGGGCAGCAAGAGGAUGGUAAUAUGGGAAAUGGUAAUAUGGGAAAUGGGCAGAACUCACAAUGGAGAUGCUACGGAGGCCUCACUGGACCAUUCUUGUGUGCUUAAUUACAGGACUCCUUUUGCAUAGCACAAAAUAAGCCACUCUGUGUUCAGUCCACUAGAGUUAGGUUGACCUUCAUAUCCAGUCUCUGCAUCCUCAGAUUCAAUCGAUUGUGAAUUGAGGGUGCUGCACACUGUGUUUGAAAACAAAAAUUACAUCUGCACUGAACCUUUACAGACUUCUUUUUCUUGUCACUCCUUAAUACAGUUAACGAUAUGCUUUUAGAAACAUUUGCAUUAUUAGGAAUUAUAAAUAAUCUAGAGAUGAUUUAAACUACUGCAUAGGAAAGGACAUGCAUAGAUUCUAUGCAAAUACUUCACAGUUUUAUAUGAGUGGGUGGAGCAUCCUUUUGCAGAUCUAAGAAUCUUGAGGGAUCCUGAAACCAAACCCUUGUGGAGAGCCAGGGAUGGCUGUACUUUACCAUUUCUAUUUCACAUAUAUAUAUGAGCUUGAACCUACAAA